UACGUAGGGUGCGAGCGUUAUCCGGAAUGAUUGGGCGUAAAGCGUCCGCAGGUGGCUGUGUAAGUCUGCUGUUAAAGAGUGAGGCUCAACCUCAUAAAAGCAGUGGAAACUACACGGCUAGAGUGCGUUCGGGGCAGAGGGAAUUCCUGGUGUAGCGGUGAAAUGCGUAGAUAUCAGGAAGAACACCGGUGGCGAAAGCGCUCUGCUAGGCCGCAACUGACACUGAGGGACGAAAGCUAGGGGAGCGAAUGGG
rnacentral:rRNA from 1 species